AGUAAGAAAGAGGGAGAGAAAGAGGUAUAGAUAAUGAAAGAAAGGAGAGAAAGCGAGAAGGAAGGAAGGAAAGAGGAUGAGAGCAGACGGAGUGUUUAUUGACUGGGCUGUGGGGAGCGCAGGCCGCGCAGGCUGUGAUUAUUUGGCGGUUUCCGGCGUUUUCCGGCGGUUGAGUUUCAAACGCACAGGGUUCCCUUUGGGUCCGUCGUCUCCGGGCGGGCCCUUCCCACCGGCGGGCCCCGCCGCUCCUGGCUGUCCGGCUUCGCCCUUCUCUCCACGCUCGCCGCGAGGGCCCUGCCAUUGGACCAGAAAACUGUCAAUCAAGCGGUCCAACCAACCAGUGGUGGACAAAAAAAAAUUCCAGCUCUGAUUCGCUAGACCUCAAAAUCAUGGACAUGUAGUCUAUGAGGGCUGUAAUACGCAUUAGGGAAUAUAUUUGGGAUAGCUGAUUUGAGCGGAUUCUAGCAGAGUUUUGUCCAAAGUGGCCUCAGCUGGUCUGUCUCUCAACCUGAGUGGUAUAGAAGAGUCACACCUCACCUUUUUACCUGGCUCCCCAGUUAUUCCAGGUGGUCCCGAUUCUCCAGGCUCACCCUGUCAACACAGGAACGCCUGGGGGUCCAGCGGGGCCCGGGAGACCCACGGGGCCUUGGACACCAUCACGUCCGGCCGGACCGAUCGGACCUUUCUCACCCUGAACCAGAGAGAGAGGAACGAAGGAACGAAAGAGGGGGUGGAAGUGGCCACGAUGGCAGAAGAUGGCGUAUUCCCGGCCAGCCCAUUCGACGAUUCGGCCUGCUUACGGGUGUGCCUGGCAGUCCCCUCUCCCCUGGGAAUCCCCUCAGACCGG